rnacentral:pre_miRNA from 1 species
UCUUAUGGAUGAGCAAAGAAAGUGGUUUCUUGAACUGGAAUCUACUUCUGGUGAAGAUGCUAUGAA